GACGAACCGAGCGAACGUUGUUCGGAAUCACUGGGUUUAAAGGGUGCGUAGGUGGCGCGUUAAGUCCGUUGUGAAAUCCCUUGGCUCAACCAAGGAAUGGCUUCGGAUACUGGCGUGCUUGAGGUUGGUAUGGGUCACUGGAACUGACGGUGGAGCGGUGAAAUGCGUAGAUAUCGUCAGGAACGCCAAUGGUGAAGACAGGUGACUGGGCCAAUUCUGACACUGAGGCACGAAAGCGUGGGGAGCGAACGGG
rnacentral:rRNA from 1 species